rnacentral:rRNA from 1 species
CACUCCUGCGGGAGGCAGCAGUGGGGAAUUUUGGACAAUGGGCGAAAGCCUGAUCCAGCAAUGCCGCGUGAGUGAAGAAGGCCUUCGGGUUGUAAAGCUCUUUUGUCAGGGAAGAAACGGUGAGAGCUAAUAUCUUUUGCUAAUGACGGUACCUGAAGAAUAAGCACCGGCUAACUACGUGCCAGCAGCCGCGGUAAUACGUAGGGUGCAAGCGUUAAUCGGAAUUACUGGGCGUAAAGCGUGCGCAGGCGGUUUUGUAAGUCUGAUGUGAAAUCCCCGGGCUCAACCUGGGAAUUGCAUUGGAGACUGCAAGGCUAGAAUCUGGCAGAGGGGGGUAGAAUUCCACGUGUAGCAGUGAAAUGCGUAGAUAUGUGGAGGAACACCGAUGGCGAAGGCAGCCCCCUGGGUCAAGAUUGACGCUCAUGCACGAAAGCGUGGGGAGCAAACAGGAUUAGAUACCCGUGUAGUCCC